rnacentral:rRNA from 1 species
GACCUCAGUUCAGGUGAGAUUACCGGCUGAAUUUAAGCAUAUUACUAAGCCGAGGAAAAGAAACUAACAAGGAUUCCCCUAGUAGCAGCGAGCGAACAGGGAAGAGCCCAGCGCUGAAUCCCCCGGGCCUCGCUCGGCGGGAAAUGUAGCGUUUGGGAGGGCCCGUCAACACGGCGACUCGCUCACUGGUUCAAGUCCAACUUGAAUGGGGCCACACAGAGGGUGACAGGCCCGUAGAGCAGGAGCGGUUGUCGUGUGGGUCUCUCCUUAGAGUCGGUUUGCUUGAGAGUGCAGACUUAAGUGGGUGGUAAACUCCAUCUAAGGCUAAAUAUGACCACGAGACCGAUAGCACACAAGUACCGUGAGGGAAAGGUGAAAAGAACUUUGAAGAGAGAGUUCAAGAGUACGUGAAACUGAAGUGGUGUAAACGGACGAGUUCGAAAAGUCCGAAUGGUGAGAUUCAAGCUUACCGUGCCGGUGGCCCUCGGGUUCAGAUGGCGUCGUCAGCUCGGGCUUCGGUUCGGGUCAUACGGCGUCACUCGUCCUGGGGGUAUCUGUCUGGUGCGGUGGGCUGCACUUCUCGCCUAGUAGGACGUCGCGACCCGUUGGGAUGUUCCGUUCACUGGCCCCUGGUGGAGCCCGCGCCGGAGCGUGGCCUUGUGCCGCGUUGCUGUUUGCACGGACCCGGGGUGACCUGAUCGGCGCCCGACGGUAUCAAAGCUUGGGAAGAGGCCGCACAGAGGAUGCGUUCGAUGGCCGUUUCGGCCUACACUCGGACAGGCCUGCACCCGGUCAGCGGCGCUCUGCUUUCGAACUCGCU